UACGUAGGGUGCGAGCGUUAAUCGGAAUUACUGGGCGUAAAGCGUGCGCAGGCGGUUUUGUAAGCCAGAUGUGAAAUCCCCGGGCUUAACCUGGGAAUGGCAUUUGGGACUGCAAGGCUGGAGUUUGGCAGAGGAGACUGGAAUUCCCGGUGUAGCAGUGAAAUGCGUAGAGAUGCGGAGGAACACCGAUGGCGAAGGCAGCCCCCUGGGCUGACACUGACGCUCAGGCACGAAAGCGUGGGGAGCAAACAGG
rnacentral:rRNA from 1 species